GGAUUUGAACACAAAGGAACUCCGAACACUUUCCGUUGUGUUUGGAAGUAUGUGAUGGACUACGCAGUCCUUCUGAUCCUCAACAUUCAGAUAACAUAAUGAAGAUUCUAGUUGCAGGAUUGCAAACUUAGUUCAAAUGGUCAGUGCUGCAAGUAAACGUAAAGGACUUCUGAAGUCUUCACGCUAUGUUGGAAAGUAUAAGAUGAAUGUCGCAGUCCUUCUGGUCCUCAACGUUCAACUUAUAUAAUGAAGACUCUACUUGCAUUAUUGCAUCUGAGUUAAAAUGGGCAUAUUGCUUGAACUAAAAGC